rnacentral:rRNA from 1 species
CCUACGGGAGGCAGCAGUGGGGAAUAUUGGACAAUGGGGGAAACCCUGACGCAGCGACGCCGCGUGAGUGAAGAAGGCUUUCGGUAUGUAAAGCUCUUUUAGUAGGGAAGAAAAUCACGGUAUCUGACUACUAUGCCCCGGCUCACUCCGUGCCAGCAGCCGCGGUAAUACGCGGGGGGCAAGCGUUAUCCGGAGUUACUGGGUGUAAAGGGGGCGUAGAGGGGAGAACAAGUCAGAUGUGAAAUCCCGGGGCUUAACCCCGGAACUGCAUUGGAAACUGUGGUGCUAGAGUGCAGGAGAGGUAAGUGGAAUUCCUUGUGUAGCGGUGAAAUGCGUAGAUAUUAGGAAGAACACCAGUGGCGAAGGCGGCUUACUGGACGGUAACUGACGGUGAGGCGCGAAAGCGUGGGGAGCAAACAGGAUUAGAUACCCGGGUAGUC